rnacentral:rRNA from 1 species
CGAUACGAGUUUGAUCCUGGCUCAGGAUGAACGCUAGCGGCAGGCCUAACACAUGCAAGUCGAGGGGCAGCAGGGGUAGCAAUACCCGCUGGCGACCGGCGCACGGGUGAGUAACGCGUAUGCAACCUACCCUCCGCAGGGGGAUAGCCCGCCGAAAGGCGGAUUAAUACCCCAUCGUCCCGGUGAACGGCAUCGUUUACCGGGUAAAGGAGCAAUCCGGCGGAGGAUGGGCAUGCGUGCCAUUAGCUAGUUGGCGGGGUAACAGCCCACCAAGGCGACGAUGGCUCGGGGGUCUGAGAGGAUGGUCCCCCCACACUGGUACUGAGACACGGACCAGACUCCUACGGGAGGCAGCAGUGAGGAAUAUUGGUCAAUGGGCGAAAGCCUGAACCAGCCAUGCCGCGUGCAGGAAGACGGCCCUACGGGUUGUAAACUGCUUUUCCGGGGGAAGAAUAAGGGCGAUACGUCGUCCGAUGCCGGUACCCCGGGAUAAGGAUCGGCUAACUCCGUG